rnacentral:rRNA from 1 species
GUGGGGAAUAUUGGACAAUGGGCGCAAGCCUGAUCCAGCCAUGCCGCGUGAGUGAUGAAGGUCCUAGGGUUGUAAAGCUCUUUCAGUGGGGACGAUAAUGACGGUACCCACAGAAGAAGCCCCGGCUAACUUCGUGCCAGCAGCCGCGGUAAUACGAAGGGGGCUAGCGUUGUUCGGAUUUACUGGGCGUAAAGCGCACGUAGGCGGAUCGUUAAGUCGAGGGUGAAAUCCUGGAGCUCAACUCCAGAACUGCCUUCGAUACUGGCGAUCUUGAGUCCGGAAGAGGUGAGUGGAACUCCUAGUGUAGAGGUGGAAUUCGUAGAUAUUAGGAAGAACACCAGUGGCGAAGGCGGCUCACUGGUCCGGUACUGACGCUGAGGUGCGAAAGCGUGGGGAGCAAACAGGAUUAGAAACCCGGGUAGUCC